AAACUGAAAUUAAUACCUUUAAAACAAAAUUUUGCUUUCAGGGUUGUUUUCAAGAGUAUUGUUUGACCUCUUCUACCAAAGCAGUUUGGCUUUAUUGCAGGGUAAACACUUCUAGGCUGAAUGAAAUUCCAUUGCAUCUAGUAAUGACCACAUUUCUUCCUUCAUUGGAGAUAACAGCAUCAAAGGUACUUUCUGAAAUCACAAAGAUAACCAGCGGGGAAGUCUGUGUAUGAAAUGUUCCUUUCCAAUAGCCCAUUCCCCUGUCUGCACCAUUCUGUGGAUGUUACCACUUGGACAAUUGAAUCAAAGAGCAAGAAGCCUGUGAACAGUGUUUCCCUGGAGAAACUGGUUGCUCAUGGCUCGGACAAGUGCACUAUUCCCUGGGUUAAAAAUUCACUGGAUGGUUGGAACCAGAGAGCGCUGGUUUCCCACUUCCCAUGUUGUU